GACUCCACUGUGAACUUCAGCUUUACAGAUGCCACCUUUUCUCUUCAGGCAGUGUACGCACUAUGGUACUAUCAAUUGCCUUUUAUCAAUAGCUGCAUCGAUCUUAGCUGACCGGAGUGAGCAAAACUUUGGCUACCACUAAUGCUAGUUCUGGAGUGGACUGGAGGAGAGGAAGAAACCUGACGAGUGCGAUAUAUAACCCUGAAAGUGUGACGCCUAGUGGCACCUGCUGGUAUUACCUCCAGAAGGGACGCAUCUAUUUGAGGUAUGGCGGUAAUUUAUUCAAGAGGGCAGACGUGGUCUCAUUUAGUCCAAAGUACUCAAACUGAAGUGCAACUUUGAGUAACCUGCUAAGAGUUUCCCGUUGACCAUCACGUAGCCCCGCCCACCCCCGCACCGAACUGACCGCCACUUACGUAACGCGAGGCGCAGCGCAACUCUGUUCUUGGAUGUUUUUCCGCGUGUUGGCAGCAGAGGACGGCCAGCGCCGCCCGGGAUUAAGAUGAGCCGCCGUGCAAGCCGGACUUUUUGCAUCUCUUCAAAGUGACGAGGUUGCGAAAGGAGCGGACGAGGUGCUGACAUGAGGGAUAAAGCCCCGCCCCUCGCUAGUAAUAUGAAAAAUGAGAUUACACGCCAAUCGCCACAACGGUCAUUUCCGACGCGAGGUUAAAGUCUGUCAUGUUAGGCUUUCACGCUUGGGUUAGGGUUUGAAAUUAGGGCUUCAAAACAGGGUUAGGAUUUCAAAAUUAGAGUUUCAAGCCUUGGUUAAGGUUUUACAUUUAAAAAAAAAAAAAAAAAAAUGGUUUCAUGCUAGAGUUACGGUUUGGGGCCGGGGUUAGGAUUUCAAGUUACGGUUUCAAGUUUUUGAAACCGUAACUUUUUAAAACGGGGUUUCAUGUUAUGUUUUCAAUCUGACGGUAGGGUUUCAAGAUAGGAUUACGAUUUCAAAAUAGGGUUUCAGGCCAGGGUUAUGCUGUCAAGCCUCAAUUCAAGUCUGGGUUAGGGUUUCAAAUUCGAGUUUCAAGACUGAAUUAGGGUUUCAAGUUCGGGUUUUGAGCAAUAGUUACAGUUUCAAGCCUGGAGUUAGGGUUUCAAAUUAGGAUUUCAAUCUAUGGGUAGGGUUUCAAGAUUGAGUUAGGAUUUGAAAUUAGAGCUUCAAGUCUAGGUUAGGGUUUCAAAUUUGGGUUUUAAUCUUUUGGGUUUAAAGAUGGGGUCAAGGGUGUCAAAAUAGGGUUUCAGGCCAGGUAUAUGGUUUCAAGUCGGGGUUAGGGUUUUAAGACUGGGUUAGAUUGUCAUGUUAGGAUGUUAAACUAGGGUUAAGGUUUGUAAUUAGGGUUUCAAUUUACAGUUUCGAGGUAGGAUUAGGGUUUCAAGCAAGGGUUAGGGUUUAAAAAUAGGGUUUCACGCCAGAGUUACAAUUUCAAGCAUGGAUUAGAAUUCCAAAUGAGGGUUUUAAACCUGGUUUAGGGUGUCACCAGAGGGUUUCAAACUAGGGUCAAUGUUUGAAAUGAGUCGAGGUAAUGCCCGCGUGGACGUUGGAUAACAAAGGUCGAGCAUGUGGCGGCCGACCAGCGCGGGAAGCUCGCGCAGCGGCUACGUUCUCGCUCGGUGAAAGCAGAAGAGCCGAGUCAAAAUCCUUUGUUUGCAAAAAGCAGAUCAUCUAAGAGUGCUGGAGAAAGUUUUGAGGCGUUGGAGGCUGGAGCUGGUGUGGGAUUGAAGACAGACGACAUGAGUGUAAAUCUUAAUGAUGCCGUGGGAUAAUCUGAGUGGAGACCACGAGCCCGAUGAUUGCCACGUCGCUUGUUUGUGCCCGCUGAGGAUUUGGCACAUUUCGACGAGGGUCGUGUUCCUAUUUCAGCCCGCUCUCAAGUGUAGAACUUAACACAUACUGUAUAAUAAUCCCUCGCUAAAUUGCGGUUCACUUUUUUGGGGGGGGAGGUCAGUGUCGUGUAAUUACUCACCUGACUUUAGUGUGGCAGCAGUGAUUCGCGUGGGGUCAACUGGCCUCUUAUUCGUAGCAGAAAAAGAAACGUUCAACUCAUACAUUUGCUAAAUCACCAAAUUGCUUGAGUAUACAAAGAACAUGAGUUCUGAUUUUCAGAGUUUUUGGAUAUAAAUUCACAAAUACCCACUCUAGCCCGACGACGAGCUAAUGCGCACGCUCAUAACAAUAUCGCCAGGAAAAGAGCAACGUUUAACUUGAUUUUCUAUCACACAAUACUAUACUUUAUGUACUAUACUACUACAUUACUAUACCAUACCAUACUAUACUAUACACUGCCGCGCUGUACAGUAUUACGCAGUGCUCUGCUGUACAGUACUAAAUUGUAACACACUCCACGACACUAUACAUUGGGCCACGCCGCUAUUCGCGGGGCACCAGGCCCAACCCCGAAUAGCAAAAAACUCUUUGCUGGCUUUUCUGACAGCGGUCUGUAUGUGCUGCUGUACGUUACCGAACAUAAUACAAUAGCUCACCACGUUAAUGCGUUUCACGCUGGUGCAAACUUUUUAAUUGACAUAUUAUCCCUCGCCCACCUCACACACUCGAAGCGAGCACGAAUCCAACACGCAAGGGAAGCAAAAGCGUUGAAGCCAAGAUGCCGCCCGCGUGUCGAACCCACGCGCGCCGCCGCGAUUGGCCGGCAAGCGCUCCUGUAUUGCGCCGGACUGUCUUAUUUCCAUAAUGUUACAAAACAGCGCUGGCGAUGACUCGACUGCAAGCUUUCACACUCUUUGGCUCGCCGUUCCCAUCCGACCAAUACACUGUUUUGACAAAAAAAUGCUACAAUAGGGAUGGAAGUCCAUUUGACAUUUACUCAGUUGCGUAACUCUGCGUGGUGGUUAUGACUCACUCACUUUUUUGCACAAGAGCGCGUGAAGAUCAAUAGUAACGCAGCACGUGUAGCCUCGGAAUACAUUUACAGCAGUGUUAUGUAUUCAAAAUAACAACAAGGGCCUUUGUUAUGAAUUUAUGAAUAAGAAGUCAUUUUUAGUAGGCAGGAAAUUAAUACAGUCAACCCACACAUAUUUGCAAGUUGUUCUUUUUUCUGCAUGGUUUGCUUGCCCUUCCUGAUGCAAUUUAAUUGUUUUUUUUUUAUGCGGGCUCCGGGAGUCGAAACCACGCCGUCUGCUCAGGCCAAAGCCAUGUCUCAUAUAAAAAUAGUGCUUUGGCGCCAUCUUGUGGUAACUGUGGAACUGAGGGAAGAGCUUCGUUAAAGUCAAGCCAGACGGUAGCUUUGUCUCAUAAGGACAAAGUUACUUGUUGCCAUGUUGUGAUAUUACCCUUAAAAAGUAAUGUUUACAGAUGAUUUGGUUAAAAAAAAAAAAAAAAAAAAUGCACCA